UACGUAGGUCCCGAGCGUUGUCCGGAUUUAUUGGGCGUAAAGCGAGCGCAGGUGGUUUAUUAAGUCUGGUGUAAAAGGCAGUGGCUCAACCAUUGUAUGCAUUGGAAACUGGUAGACUUGAGUGCAGGAGAGGAGAGUGGAAUUCCAUGUGUAGAGGUGAAAUGCGUAGAUAUAUGGAGGAACACCGGUGGCGAAAGCGGCUCUCUGGCCUGUAACUGACACUGAGGCUCGAAAGCGUGGGGAGCAAACAGG
rnacentral:rRNA from 1 species